AAUCCAAUUCAAUUGGACUUGAUCUAAAAAUAUUUACUCAAUCAAAUUGAGUUAAUUAGCGAUCAAAUCACUAAUUAAACCUCUCAUAAAUACUGAGUCCAAAUCCGAUGGGCAAUCAGGCAUCAGAAUUCAUCGAUAUGUAAUCCUGAUUGAAAAAUCCCAACCAGUGAGACUUUUAACCCCGGUACCCAUAAUGUGUGAAACUCGUGAUCAGAGAAUCCUGAUUCUCGAUCACUGAGUCUCAAACAUGUAGGAUUCUACAUCAGCCAUCAGAUCAGAUAGGAACCUCUAAUGUGUGUGACCCCACAGGUUCGAACCUAAGCCGGUAGCACAGGAACCAAUUCCUGUACUAAUCGAAGUGACCAUCUAACAAUGGUACCCGACGUCUGGAUAGGUCGAAGAGUCGCAAUCACAAUACUCAGAACCUACAUGAAUAUGGUUAUUGUAUAAUUCAUCCUUUUGACCCCUGUGUUUAGG
rnacentral:lncRNA from 1 species